CGAGUAAGCUAUGCGGUUGAACGCAGCUGUCCAAUCGGACAGCAGAACGCGUUAGGAAAGUCCGAGCAUCACAGAGCAGGGUAGCUGCUAACGGCAGCCGAGGGCGACCUUAGGGCAAGUGCAACAGAGAUAUACCGCCGCAGUUUCUGCGGUAAGGGUGGAAAGGCGGGGUAAGAGCCCACCGGAGCAGCGGAGACGCUGCUGCCAUGUAAACCCUAUCCGAUGCAACGUCUAAUUGGAACAAUGCGUUAUUGUCUGCUCGGCAGGCGUAUUGUUAUGACGGCUGGAGCGUUUCGGCGACGAUUCGCCAAGAUAGAUUUCCGCACACGACAAAACUCGGCUUAUCGGCUUAGUCGCUAC
rnacentral:RNase_P_RNA from 1 species